AUGCAAGUCGAACGGCAGCAUGAUCUAGCUUGCUAGAUUGAUGGCGAGUGGCGAACGGGUGAGUAAUACAUCGGAACGUGCCCUGUAGUGGGGGAUAACUAGUCGAAAGAUUAGCUAAUACCGCAUACGACCUGAGGGUGAAAGUGGGGGACCGCAAGGCCUCAUGCUAUAGGAGCGGCCGAUGUCUGAUUAGCUAGUUGGUGAGGUAAAGGCUCACCAAGGCGACGAUCAGUAGCUGGUCUGAGAGGACGAUCAGCCACACUGGGACUGAGACACGGCCCAGACUCCUACGGGAGGCAGCAGUGGGGAAUUUUGGACAAUGGGGGCAACCCUGAUCCAGCAAUGCCGCGUGUGUGAAGAAGGCCUUCGGGUUGUAAAGCACUUUUGUCCGGAAAGAAAUCGCACUUACUAAUAUUAGGUGUGGAUGACGGUACCGGAAGAAUAAGGACCGGCUAACUACGUGCCAGCAGCCGCGGUAAUACGUAGGGUCCAAGCGUUAAUCGGAAUUACUGGGCGUAAAGCGUGCGCAGGCGGUUGUGCAAGACCGAUGUGAAAUCCCCGGGCUUAACCUGGGAAUUGCAUUGGUGACUGCACGGCUAGAGUGUGUCAGAGGGGGGUAGAAUUCCACGUGUAGCAGUGAAAUGCGUAGAGAUGUGGAGGAAUACCGAUGGCGAACGCAGCCCCCUGGGAUAACACUGACGCUCAUGCACGAAAGCGUGGGGNAGCAAACAGGAUNAGAUACCCUGGUAGUCCACGCCCUAAACGAUGUCAACUAGUUGUUGGGGAUUCAUUUCCUUAGUAACGUAGCUAACGCGUGAAGUUGACCGCCUGGGGAGUACGGUCGCAAGAUUAAAACUCAAAGGAAUUGACGGGGACCCGCACAAGCGGUGGAUGAUGUGGAUUAAUUCGAUGCAACGCGAAAAACCUUACCUACCCUUGACAUGCCACUAACGAAGCAGAGAUGCAUUAGGUGCUCGAAAGAGAAAGUGGACACAGGUGCUGCAUGGCUGUCGUCAGCUCGUGUCGUGAGAUGUUGGGUUAAGUCCCGCAACGAGCGCAACCCUUGUCUCUAGUUGCUACGAAAGGGCACUCUAGAGAGACUGCCGGCGACAAACCGGAGGAAGGUGGGGAUGACGUCAAGUCCUCAUGGCCCUUAUGGGUAGGGCUUCACACGUCAUACAAUGGUGCAUACAGAGGGUUGCCAAGCCGCGAGGUGGAGCUAAUCCCAGAAAAUGCAUCGUAGUCCGGAUCGUAGUCUGCAACUCGACUACGAGAAGCUGGAAUCGCUAGUAAUCGCGGAUCAGCAUGCCGCGGUGAAUACGUUCCCGGGUCUUGUACACACCGCCCGUCACACCAUGGGAGUGGGUUUUGCCAGAAGUAGUUAGCCUAACCGCAAGGGGGGCGAUUACCACGGCAGGGUUCAUGACUGGGGUGAAGUCGUAACAAGGU
rnacentral:rRNA from 1 species